rnacentral:rRNA from 1 species
GAUGAACGCUGGCGGCGUGCCUAAUACAUGCAAGUCGAGCGAAUGGAUUAAGAGCUUGCUCUUAUGAAGUUAGCGGCGGACGGGUGAGUAACACGUGGGUAACCUGCCCAUAAGACUGGGAUAACUCCGGGAAACCGGGGCUAAUACCGGAUAACAUUUUGAAACGCAUGGUUCGAAAUUGAAAGGCGGCUUCGGCUGGCACUUAUGGAUUGACCCGCGUCGCAUUAGCUAGUUGGUGAGGUAACGGCUCACCAAGGCAACGAUGCGUAGCCGACCUGAGAGGGUGAUCGGCCACACUGGGACUGAGACACGGCCCAGACUCCUACGGGAGGCAGCAGUAGGGAAUCUUCCGCAAUGGACGAAAGUCUGACGGAGCAACGCCGCGUGAGUGAUGAAGGCUUUCGGGUCGUAAAACUCUGUUGUUAGGGAAGAACAAGUGCUAGUUGAAUAAGCUGGCACCUUGACGGUACCUAACCAGAAAGCCACGGCUAACUACGUGCCAGCCGCCGCGGUAA